AUCAUUCUAGUACAAUUGUUAGUAUAUGUGACUUCCAAUCACCUGACCCCAGUUAAAUCCUGGGGAGUGAUA
rnacentral:tRNA from 1 species